rnacentral:ncRNA from 1 species
UGCAAUGCUAUGAUUGGAAAGAGUACAUAUACCCACCUUAUCAGAGAGGGAGAAUCAUUAGCUGCGAGAUUCUCUAAGGAGUAGGGAUAUGGAAAGUCAUCCAUGAGCAAUUCCAAUGAAAUGAGAAGUAAUAAAGUAGUUGGAAUCGGCGUCAAACCGUUAUCUUGUUAGAGUGAACGCGUGAGUUCCGUACUUUCACAUAGUGGGAAAUGUAUUUGAAUGAUGAUAACGCGCGUUAACAAAGGUGGUACCGCGAAACAAACUCCUUUUCGUCCUUUGA